CCUACGGGUGGCAGCAGUGAGGAAUAUUGGUCAAUGGGCGCGAGCCUGAACCAGCCAAGUAGCGUGAAGGAUGAAUGCCCUACGGGUUGUAAACCUCUUUUAUAAAGGAAUAAAGUGAGGCACGUGUGCCUUUUUGUAUGUACUUUAUGAAUAAGGAUCGGCUAACUCCGUGCCAGCAGCCGCGGUAAUCCUGAGGAUCCGAGCGUUAUCCGGAUUUCUUCGGUUUAAAGGGAGCGUAGAUGGGUUGUUAAGUCAGUUGUGAAAGUUUGCGGCUCAACCGUAAAAUUGCAAUUGAUACGGGCAGUCUUGAGUACAGUAGAGGUAGGCGGAAUUCGUGGUGUAGCGGUGAAAUGCUUAGAUAUCACGAAGAACCCUGAUUGCGAAGGCAGCUUACUAAACUGUGACUGACAUUGAUGCACGAAAGUGUGGGUAUCAAACAGGAUUAGAUACCCUUGUAGUC
rnacentral:rRNA from 1 species